rnacentral:rRNA from 1 species
CGUUGUCCGGAAUUACUGGGCGUAAAGAGCUCGUAGGUGGUUUGUCGCGUUGUUCGUGAAAACUCACAGCUCAACUGUGGGCGUGCGGGCGAUACGGGCAGACUGGAGUACUGCAGGGGAGACUGGAAUUCCUGGUGUAGCGGUGGAAUGCGCAGAUAUCAGGAGGAACACCGGUGGCGAAGGCGGGUCUCCGGGCAGUAACUGACGCUGAGGAGCGAAAGCGUGGGGAGCGAACAGG